UGCGCAGCAGCCCGGAACGACCAACCCUCCCCACCAGACGGUCCCUGCAUCAUAGAUGGCCCGGACCAGCUCACCCUUCCUUCCCACCGAGGGGAGAUUUUCCUUUUGAAGUGAACUUAAUAUCAUACUCAGCUGGCUUUCCUAAAUGUGAUGUUUGUUUAUGGAUCCUUUAUUAUUACCCAUUUACGCAAGGAACUGCUGUGUGAAUAGCAAGGUACACUGGAGCUUAGAACGAGACAAAUUAAUGAACUGAUUACAGUGUUGUAAAAGAAGAGAGGAAUCAAUGAAACCUGCUGUGUUUUCAUCUGCUUGAAUUAUUCACACCGCUAAGUGGCAACAAGAGGAUAAUUUCCUACCUCAAAAUAGAACAAGAUCACUUUUUGUUCAUUUAUUAUUGAAAAUAUUGAAAAAACAAACAUGAAAGUUCAAUUAGACAGAAUUAAUGUGUUAUGAUACAAUGACACCUGUU